UUUUUAUGGACUUUUACUUUUAAUUAAUUCACUUAAUAUAGAUAAAGUGCUCUACUAAGAUAAUGUG
rnacentral:tRNA from 5 species